UCCCUUUAUAGAUUCAGAGAUUUGAGCUGCAUAAUCAACCCUGUGUUAGUUUCUUGCUUCAUAAAUUUCCAAAGUUCAUAAAUUUUUCAAUUUUCCGGUAAUCUGUUUUGUAGAAAGCUGCAAUGAAGAUCAACCUCAUUUUUUUUCCGGUGGUUUUGCUUUUCCAUUUUGAUGCAAAAGGAGCAAUACAGGAAGCCAAAUCAUGGGAUGAAUUUGAAUCCAUUAUGAAGAAAGGUGGCUAUUUUUGUUUGGUUCUACUCGACUAUCCUACAAAAGAAGAUAGUAUAAUUAUUGUGGACCAAGCCUGCAUUAGAUACCCAAAAGUCAAAUGCUACUAUGGAAUGGCAGAUCCAAAAGCUCCACCAACUUCUUUCAAUGCACAUUACCAUAGCGUAGGCAUUCCUGCAUUAUAUUACUACAAAGAUGGUAAACUGAUAAAAACCAUCGACCACCCAAGCGAUGUCGAUACAACUAGAGACGAAAUUGAAGCAGGACUCGCAUCGUUGAUGUAAUAUUCCACAUGCGCUACACUGUAUCAUUGAAAACAAUAAUAUGAUUAUUCAAAAUUCCAGUAUGUGAGAGUUGUUUGUUUGUAAUACUAUAUAUUUCUUCUAUGAAACUUCUGGUUUCAAACUUAAUCAUCAAUAAAUUAUUAUUGCUUCAAUAUUCGAUCGAGAACCUACUUAGUAACUUACCCAUUUUGUUCUAGAAAAAUGUAUGAAGUUAGCAGAAUCUUAUUGACAGGUAGUUUCCGUAGGGAAAAUAUUUUGAUAAAAUUUACAACAUAUUUCGUUCUUCGAAUUACAAAUAGUUUGCUCAAUAAAUGAUAAAUUUAUUAGGUGAUAAAAUGUUGUUGUUUAUCAAGCUACCAUGAUUCUUUUAGGGCCGGUUUACGAGCUCGGGAUUCAGCUAAGUUCCAGCUGUUUAAAGUUCAGAACUCAGCUAAAUCCUGAGCUCGGAACCGGCCCUUAUUGUCACCGCAAUGAAAUUGCUUACUCACUAAAUGAAAAUUUUCUCACCAAAGUCCAACUGAGGAAAUUGUUAUUCUAAUAUCACAUUCUUUUCUCCUGAAAAAUCUUAAACCCAAACACAAAAAUCAACCAAUGAAAUAAGUACUUAAAUCCUACUCAUGUCACAAUAGUAUAUACCUACAUUUCCAAGAUCUGAAUAGCACAAUAGUAACCAGCAGUUUUCAUUGCUGCAGCAAAAGAAUAUGUAAACAAUUAUUGCAAUAAAAAAAUAAUCUAUGGAUGAUUAAGUUUGAAACAAGAGGUAAAAGAUUGCUGUACUCUGGAUCACAUUGGGCUUUGUUCAAAAUAAUUUACUUUUUACUGUGUGGAGUGUUGAUUGAAUAAAUAAUGUUUUAUCCAAGUA
rnacentral:misc_RNA from 1 species